AACAACAUACCUUAACAAUAAUUUAAACACUUUACUUAUCUAAACAAAAACAACAAUAAAACUAAUAAACUCAUCUUAACAACAAUAAAUCCUAUGUUGGACGAAGACAAAUGUUUCACAUAUAUUUUGAACGAGAAAAAAAAGAAAAAAAAGAUAAAUAUUUUGAACAACAACAACAAGAAAAAUAAUAAACCUUAUGUAUGACUCAUGAAAUGUUUCACGUACGUAUCUUUCCUU
rnacentral:lncRNA from 1 species